UACAGAGGGUGCGAGCGUUAAUCGGAAUUACUGGGCGUAAAGCGCACGUAGUCGGUUUUGCAAGCCGGAUGUGAAAUCCCCGGGCUUAACCUGGGAAUGGCAUUUGGGACUGCAAGGCUGGAGUGCGGCAGAGGAGACUGGAAUUCCUGGUGUAGCAGUGAAAUGCGUAGAUAUCAGGAGGAACACCGAUGGCGAAGGCAGGUCUCUGGGCUGACACUGACGCUCAUGCACGAAAGCGUGGGGAGCAAACAGG
rnacentral:rRNA from 1 species